AUUGAACGCUGGCGGCAUGCUUUACACAUGCAAGUCGAACGGCAGCGCGGACUUCGGUCUGGCGGCGAGUGGCGAACGGGUGAGUAAUACAUCGGAACGUGCCCAGUAAUGGGGGAUAACUAUCCGAAAGGAUAGCUAAUACCGCAUACGCCCUGAGGGGGAAAGUGGGGGACCAGCAAUGGCUUCACGUUAUUGGAGCGGCCGAUGGCUGAUUAGCUAGUUGGUGAGGUAAAGGCUCACCAAGGCGACGAUCAGUAGCGGGUCUUAGAGGACGAUCCGCCACACUGGAACUGAGACACGGUCCAGACUCCUACGGGAGGCAGCAGUGGGGAAUCUUGGACAAUGGGCGCAAGCCUGAUCCAGCAAUGCCGCGUGGGUGAAGAAGGCCUUCGGGUUGUAAAGCCCUUUUGUUUGGGAGCAAAUCCUUGCUGUUAAUAGCGGCCGGGGAUGAGAGUACCAAAAGAAUAAGCACCGGCUAACUACGUGCCAGCAGCCGCGGUAA
rnacentral:rRNA from 1 species